GUCAAGGUGCUGCAUGGUUGUCGUCAGCUCGUGCCGUGAGGUGUCGGGUUAAGUCCCAUAACGAGCGCAACCCUUAUCGUUAGUUGCCAGCGGGUAAAGCCGGGAACUCUAGCGAAACUGCCGGUGUAAACCGAGAGGAAGGUGGGAUGACGUCAAAUCAGCACGGCCCUUAUGUCCAGGGCUACACACGUGUUACAAUGGCCGGUACAGAGGGCAGCUACCUGGAGACAGGAUGCGAAUCUCGAAAGCCGGUCUCAGUUCGGAUCGGAGUCUGCAACUCGACUCCGUGAAGCUGGAUUCGCUAGUAAUCGCGCAUCAGCCAUGGCGCGGUGAAUACGUUCCCGGGCCUU
rnacentral:rRNA from 1 species